GACGAACGCUGGCGGCGUGCUUAACACAUGCAAGUCGUACGGUAAGGCCCUUUCGGGGGUACACGAGUGGCGAACGGGUGAGUAACACGUGAGUAACCUGCCCACAACUUUGGGAUAACGCUAGGAAACUGGUGCUAAUACUGGAUAUGUGCUCCUGCUGCAUGGUGGGGGUUGGAAAGCUCCGGCGGUUGUGGAUGGACUCGCGGCCUAUCAGCUUGUUGGUGGGGUAGUGGCCUACCAAGGCGGCGACGGGUAGCCGGCCUGAGAGGGUGACCGGCCACAUUGGGACUUAGAUAAGGCCCAGACUCCUACGGGAGGCAGCAGUGGGGAAUAUUGCACAAUGGGCGCAAGCCUGAUGCAGCAACGCCGCGUGCGGGAUGACGGCCUUCGGGUUGUAAACCGCUUUCAGCAGGGACGAAGCUUUUUGUGACGGUACCUGCAGAAGAAGCACCGGCUAACUACGUG
rnacentral:rRNA from 1 species